rnacentral:tRNA from 1 species
UUCCCCUGUCGUCCAAUCGGCAGUGACUCCGGGUUCUGGCCCCGGCAAUGGAGGUUCGAGUCCUCUCAGGGGAGCCC